rnacentral:siRNA from 1 species
UAUAUGUUUCAGUCUUAU